GGACUACUGGGGUUUCUAAUCCCGUUCGCUCCCCUAGCUUUCGCACCUCAGCGUCAGAUACGAGCCAGGACACUGCCUUCGCUAUUGGUGUUCUUCCGGAUCUCUACGCAUUUCACCGCUCCACCCGGAGUUCCAUGUCCCUCUCUCGCUCUCAAGUCCGCCAGUUUUCGAAAUCGUUCACCGGUUAAGCCGGUGAUUGUCACCUCGAACUUAGCGAACCGCCUGCGUGCGCUUUACGCCCAAUAAUUCCGGACAACGCUUGCCCCCUACGUAUUACCGCGGCGGCUGGCAC
rnacentral:rRNA from 1 species